GCCUGAGAGAGCUGUCAUGAUCUCUCCACGACUUCUCACCCUGACUUCAGAAGAAAUCACUGGGUUGCAAUCAACACUGAUUUCAUAUGAGCAGUAAUGAGAACUCAUAAGUUCACCUUUGAGGAAUCUAAAUCUAGAAGUUAACCAAGCCAAGCCUUCUUCAUAAACACCAUGGCAAUUUCUACCAAUAAGUAGUAAGUAGCAAUGCACCAGGACACUCAACAAACUUUUGUCUGUGGAAAGAUCAAUACAUCCACACAGUCACCAUUAGAAAGCACACAGAAAAUAAAUUGAUGCUGUGGUCUGAUGAUUUCAAGCAUCCAAGCACUUGA